CCUACGGGAGGCAGCAGUGGGGAAUAUUGGGCAAUGGGCGCAAGCCUGACCCAGCAACGCCGCGUGAAGGAAGAAGGCUUUCGGGUCGUAAACUUCUUUUCUCAGGGACGAAGAAAGUGACGAUACCUGAGGAAUAAGCCACGGCUAACUACGUGCCAGAAGCCGCGGGAAUACGUAGGUGGCAAGCGUUAUCCGGAUUUGCUGGGUGUAAAGGGCGUGUAGGCGGGACUGCAAGUCAGAUGUGAAAACCACGGGCUCAACUUGUGGCCUGCAAUUGAAACUGUAGUUCUAGAGUACUGGAGAGGAAGACGGAAUUCCUGGUGUAGCGGUGAAAUGCGUAGAUAUUAGGAGGAACACCAGUGGCGAAGGCGGUCUGCUGGACAGCAACUGACGCUGAGGUGCGAAAGCGUGGGGAGCAAACAGGAUUAGAUACCCUAGUAGUC
rnacentral:rRNA from 1 species